CCGACGCCGCCGCCGAGCUCGACCGGCUCACGCGCGCCAAGCCGCGCCAGCCGCCGCCGCUCGACCUCAACUCGUCGUCCGAGUGCUAGCCGCGUAAAUAAGUCUUGCUCCAGCCCCUGGCACGCCCGCGAGGCUCUGGCUUGUACUUUACCGCCGCCGGCCGGUAAGCGUAUAUUUGUUUAGCCCGGACUAGCACGCGUCGCGGUGACGUCACUCCAAUACGCACGGGCGGACGUCAUUCCCGAACCUGUCACUUUGACAGCCGUCAAGGAAUGCGCCCGCGUCACCGAGGACAGUCGGCAAUGUCGUGACGGUGUCCAUAGGACUAUUCGCUUCAGUAUCGCUGGUAAAUGCAAUGAGAUUACAGACUUAGCCGCGGGUACAAUGCGGGUUUGUUCACAUUUUCUGUCAACAGUCACUUUGAUGCCAAUCUUUUUAUACUUUUUGGUAAAUAUUGUGUUUGGGAAGUACGAUUUUGACCCUAAUAUAAAUCAAUAUAAUAUGAAAUAAUCCUAUCCAAUCAGGACACUAAAAUCAAAAUGAAAGUUGUGAGAAAAUAUAAACAAACUCAACACAACUGUCAAGAGUGGACACAAGCUUUGUAUUAGGACACUGAUGAGAAACAUGUAUGAAACCUCUUCAGACUCUUUCGCGUGGAAGCACAGAGGCGCUCUCGGACUAGUGCGGUGGUAAUCGGUACUAAUUCUAAUGUAACCGAUACGCAGUUGUAUGGCAGGAACUCUAUAUCUGUUUACAUUUCACGGGCAUUUGUCAAUACACAUCCAGUUUCUGUAGGUCUGAUUUAAAAACGGUAGAUUUUCUUUACAUCACAAAAUAAAAAAAUGUUACUAGACGAAUGUGCUCUCUUGAUAUAAUAAUAAAAUGUACUUAAUUUACAAUGUACCUAAGCCCGUAAUGCAUUAUUGGAUAACAGAUAUUAACAGUUUGCUCAAAAAUGUGUUAAAUCUAAACUCACAUCUAUAUCUCUCCUAUGAAUAAAACAAUACUCAAACGCUUUAAGCAUUUUCUCAUAUUGUUAGCUAACUGUGCCCCCUUCACAUUGCUUUUUUACAGAAAGUAUCCCAAAAUGGUAUAUUUCCUCAACAAAUUUGAACUUUAACUCAAUUGAGAAAAUGAUUAAUUUUGUUAAUUACCUCUAACUUUUUCAUCAGCCUAUUAGAAGCUGGAUGGUAUUACGCCAAUGUUGCUAACACUGCAGUACUUUUACUAAACACGCGUCAGAUUAAUGUCUUUACGAUAAGUUACUGUUCGGGACAUUUAGCAGCUAAACAAACACAGUGUAUAUGAAACAUAUCUGUACAACAUUCAUUCAAGCUUUGUCACUCGACGGCGUCAUGUACUCGAAUAUAGUUUGCGUCGAUCAUACGUUCAUAUUGUGAUAUAAAAGUAUAUAAGCUUGUUAUAUAGCCUUUUUAAAUAAUAUUCAAUCUGUUCAAAUGUCCCUGACUCCUGUAUAGGUCAAUGUCAAACAUUUCCAUUAAGCUAUGGUGAAACGAAACGAAUAUAAGUUGCGAUACUUUCCUAUUCAUAUAAUUACUUUAAUGUUGUUUACGAUAUUAAAUAAGUAUUUAUUUAGAUAGUUACGAGGCGGCGCGUUUUCGUCCCAGUAUACAUUGUUAUUCGAACUUUUUAAUUUGAUUGUGAACUCUAUGGCAGUGAUAGAGAGUGAUGAGUUCAGAUUGAAAAGUUUGAAGGACAGACAGACGCGCGGAGAUUUAGUUAUUGCGAAAGGAUACAUAAUAUGUCACCUGAGAUUUAAGUGGUUCCGUAAAAUGUGAUCUUCUGUGAAGACUGCGUGCAGUGAUCGAAACAUGUUUAUGCACAAUGAAGUCACUAUUUGUACAAACCGUCAAAACGUAUGGGUAUUAUAAUAUGUAUGUGUAAUGUUUAUUUGCUCAUAAUUAUAUGUAUAGCAAACUUAUGUGAAUAAAUUCAUCACCCGAUUCUAAUUGGAUUGUAAUGGUGACCUUUAUUGUGGUUUGUGGCGGUUGAAUUUAUUUAUUGAAAUAUAUUUAGCACUUUUUUAAAUAUUUUUAUGUCCCGAUUCAUAUUAUGAAAGAUGUAUUGAAAAAGAUGUUCGUACGUUUUACAGUGUAUUUUGUAAAGAUUGGAUUUUGUUCACAUGUGGUGCAAUACAGAACAUUCCAAACGUGGUUUGGUGCUUAUUAUUUUAGUAAAAUUAUUUAAUAAUACCCGAUGGAGUUUCAUUUUACAAAACUUGCCUGCUCGCUCUCUUCUAAAUUGAAUUUACGGUUAAAGCAUUAAAGGUCACUGUUAUUUAACUAGUCCAAUUAUUUACUGCAUUCUCCAUAUUUAAUUUCCAGACAAAGUAAAGAUAAACCUGCAAAUGUACUUAAAUCAGAAAGAGCCCUACAGUACAUACUUAGCUGAUUCUAUAAACCAUGGCACAUUAUGUGAAUUCCCCUACAGCUAGUAUUUAUAAUUAAUAAAAUAAUCUUGGGAUUUGUAUAACUUAUUAACGUUGUAGUUUAGGUAUUGAAUAAUUUUAACAUUAUUAAAUGAUAAUGUUGGCUUUUGUUUACACUUAUUUAGAUCAUUAUUAUUGGCAGCUAUUUUUUCUUGUAUUAUUACAUAGUUUUGAAAUUACGAUCAUUGUCCACAUUAAAAAAAUGCAAACAGUAUUAUUAUUACCUAAAGUGUUUGAAUUAACUGUAUUAUUCUGUAAUAGUUUAAUUAAAUAUGGUCAUCUUCUAAAUCUCGAAAGGCCCUCAACUUCAUUCCAAGAUUAUAUAAUGCAGUUCUUAUAUUGCACAGAAAAUUAAUCAUUAUAAUGACUAAAUAAGUGUGCAAAAGCAUUUCGAUGUAUAAUAAUCACUCAUGUAUAUUAUGAAGAAUUAUUGGAAAGUUUUGAUAUGAAAUAUUUGUACGAGUUAUUAACGAGGUACGCGCGAAAGGCUGGUGGAUUGUCUAUUUUUGUAACGGGGUAAGUUAGGUGGCUAAAAUGCAUAAUUUAUAAACACUUAAUCUUAGAUGUAUACUACUGUAGGUUGUUUCUCGACGCCAUGUUAAUGAGGCAUUGAUAGAACUAAAAAAAUUGCUAAUUUUGUUAAUUCAACGUAAAAUCGCACUUACUUGUUUAGCACAAGUGCCAAAUUAACAUGGCCGCUUCUAUACGUAUGAAAUAUAAAUUAUUAUCCAGUUAUUUUUAUAUACAAUGAAUAUUAACCACACAAAAAGCAUAAUGGCAUAUUGUAAAGAUUGUCACCUUCGGCAUAGUUUUCUAAAGACCCGUAAGUUUCGCUCACAUAAAUUAAUAUUGUAUUUUAAACUUUUUAUUAGAGAUGAAACGGAUAUCCGGUAACUAUCCGGUAGGCCGGAUAUCCGGCCUAAAUUUAGGUACUAUCCGGCCGGAUACCGGAUAGUAGCUCACUAUCCGGCCGGAUACCGGAUAUUAAAAAACUACGACAAUUUCCUAUUAAUAAAAUGAAAUACAUUAAUCUUUGAGGUAAAUAUCAACAAAAUGGCUUAUAAUAAUGACGACUUUUAUUGAAAGUUCCAUUAAGUUACAAAAAAAGCCAUAUUAAGGCCUUUCAAAAAACUAAUUUAUUUUUCUGAGCUAUUCACUCUAAUGACAAAUACAUAAAUAUUGCCAAAUAAAAUAGGCGAUCUUUUUUUCACUGAUGGUCUGAUGACAUGAUGCAGACGAUGCAGUUCAGUCAGAUUACGCAGCAAGUAAACUAAUUUAAUUUACGCUAUUCUAUCACACACUCACGAAGGCAACCGAAAUCGCCCGGAUUUAUCUGCCCCCUAGACAAGUGGCAAAAUCUGACAUUCUAUUCGGACGGAUUAGAUUUUUGAAAAGUUUGACUAGUCUAGUCUACUAAUAGACCCACUGGUCGCGUUCGAAGCACCUGUGCUUCGCUAAACUCGUCACGACAUGCAACGAGACAAUGGGCCAACUAUCCGGCCGCCGGAUAUCCGGCUAUCCGGCCUAGAAGCUGGCCGGAUAUCCGGUAUCCGGUAUCCGGCCAAACAACUAUCCGUUUCAUCUCUACUUUUUAUACUAGUCAAAAUAUCAGUUUUUAAUUACAUUUUCUUUCUGUGAUAUGUGUUUUUAUAUAGAACAAAACGUCUCUUUUUAUGUAUUAGCCACUUAUCAUCCUCAAUAGACAUAAAGUAAUAAAAAAUAGGAUAAUAUUAAUAAUACAAUAAAAAUAUAAUUUAAUCCCCGAUUUGUUCGGGGUACGAAUGUAACGAUUAUUAUUUUUUUGUUUUGUUGUUUUUUUAUGUAACUUAAUAUUUGUGAAGCAUCAAAAAUGGCACAUUCUCUUUUUAAAGUUGUUUAUUAUCACCGAUUAAAAUUAAAAUGACAGGAACAGUUUCAAGGGCGUUAAGCCUGUUGGUUGUAUGAGCGAAUACCUACAUUGUUGAUCCAGCAGUCUGCGACUGCUAAAGCUUAUAGUGAUUUAAUAUUAGAUUCUCAAUCGAUAGUUUUUGUUACGCUUCGCAAUAGAAUAGAUCGAUAUUUAAUAGAACAUUUUAGUUGUUAAUUACGUUAUUUAGCCGUCGGUUCGUUUCUGAUGCAAGAAAAGGUCUCGAAAGAAUACAUAUUUUCUAGAAAGGGCAAGUGUAAAUAUUGAAAAGAAAUCAUCGUUUUUUAUGACAUGAAAUCCAAUAAAAUUGAAGUUAUCGCAUUCAUAAACCGAUAACCUUUAUAAUGCUAAGCAGAUUUUGUAAAUAAAAUGAUUUUUUCAUAUACUAUUUGCCUUAUGAAUGCCUAAAAAGAGUAAAAACAUAUAGAAGGAUACUGAAAUGGCAGCCAUGAAACGUGAAACCGACGAUGCGAGUGUAAUAAAAAUUUUAAUAUGAGUAAAAGAAAAAAUGUAAAAGCAGACAGUGAUCUUGAGAAAACUGGUGGGUUUGAGAGUUCACAUCAGCUACCGAUGGAAAACCUACUGUAGGAGAGACGCUAGCGUAGCGAACAGCAUUAACGGUUUUGAUGGUUUUAUCCUAUCUCAUAUCGUAAACCAUUGUCACCCUGUGUAAUCUCAGUACGCAAAACGUUUGGACCCUAGGUCUCAAACGUAUUUGCUACCAGUUUAGGCGUGAAAUGCAUAAUAUAAUAACUAAAUGAAAGCAAAUACAGUUGUGAAUUCGUACGUAUUUGCCUAAAACCUCGCGCUGUAAGACAUUUCUAUAGUCCACAAACUAAUCUGUGGGUAGUUAUGUCUCACUUACUGUUCAUGCUGUUUGCUAUGCUGGGGCUCUCGUGUAUCUCUUAUGUGCCCUAGAUAAUGUAACGAUCGCUAAUUGAAUCAAUUACCAGAAUAAUUGUGUAGAAAGCGUAAAAUUGACUGCGGAAUCAUGUUUGUCUUUGCCAACCACUCCGCUAAGUUAGUAUAGCGCCAUCUGGGCCAACGUAAACGUACUAAGUAUAUCAAAAGCGAUUCGAUAGCCUUUCGCUUCGUAGCGAAGUUACAUUGUCUACAGGCACAGUUCACUUCACUUCCACACUCGCCUCUGUAAAUAGUGUUUCUUUACAAAGGUAACGCAGUGUUAUUUGCCUAAACGUUAUAUUGUAGCCUACAAUGUUAGAGGUUUAUUAAUUCUAAGCUUUUUGGCGACAUUGUACAGAGAAUUAUUCAAAUAAAUUAUCAACCAAACUGUUCUGAUCAA